rnacentral:rRNA from 1 species
GGGGGGACCAUCCUCCAAGGCUAAAUACUCCUGACUGACCGAUAGUGAACCAGUACCGUGAGGGAAAGGCGAAAAGAACCCCGGCGAGGGGAGUGAAAAAGAACCUGAAACCGUGUACGUACAAGCAGUGGGAGCACCCUUCGGGGUGUGACUGCGUACCUUUUGUAUAAUGGGUCAGCGACUUAUAUUCUGUAGCAAGGUUAACCGUAUAGGGGAGCCGGAGGGAAACCGAGUCUUAACCGGGCGUUAAGUUGCAGGGUAUAGACCCGAAACCCGGUGAUCUAGCCAUGGGCAGGUUGAAGGUUGGGUAACACUAACUGGAGGACCGAACCGACUAAUGUUGAAAAAUUAGCGGAUGACCUGUGGCUGGGGGUGAAAGGCCAAUCAAACCGGGAGAUAGCUGGUUCUCCCCGAAAGCUAUUUAGGUAGCGCCUCGUGAAUUCAUCUCCGGGGGUAGAGCACUGUUUCGGCUAGGGGGCCAUCCCGGCUUACCAACCCGAUGCAAACUGCGAAUACCGGAGAAUGUUAUCACGGGAGACACACGGCGGGUGCUAACGUCCGUCGUGAAGAGGGAAACAACCCAGACCGCCAGCUAAGGUCCCAAAGUCAUGGUUAAGUGGGAAACGAUGUGGGAAGGCCCAGACAGCCAGGAUGUUGGCUUAGAAGCAGCCAUCAUUUAAAGAAAGCGUAAUAGCUCACUGGUCGAGUCGGCCUGCGCGGAAGAUGUAACGGGGCUAAACCAUGCACCGAAGCUGCGGCAGCGAACGUAUCACCCAAGACAACUUUACGGAGUUGACGAUUGACGGAGCGAAGCGACGUCAAAGCGUUCAUUAAAGUCGAGUUGGCUUAGGGAUACGUUCGUUGGGUAGGGGAGCGUUCUGUAAGCCUGUGAAGGUGUGUCGUGAGGCAUGCUGGAGGUAUCAGAAGUGCGAAUGCUGACAUAAGUAACGAUAAAGCGGGUGAAAAGCCCGCUCGCCGGAAGACCAAGGGUUCCUGUCCAACGUUAAUCGGGGCAGGGUGAGUCGACCCCUAAGGCGAGGCCGAAAGGCGUAGUCGAUGGGAAACGGGUUAAUAUUCCCGUACUUGGUGUUACUGCGAAGGGGGGACGGAGAAGGCUAUGUUGGCCGGGCGACGGUUGUCCCGGUUUAAGCGUGUAGGUGUGUGUUCCAGGUAAAUCCGGUUCACUUUAACACUGAGGCGUGACGACGAGGCACUACGGUGCUGAAGCAACAAAUGCCCUGCUUCCAGGAAAAGCCUCUAAGCAUCAGGUAACACGAAAUCGUACCCCAAACCGACACAGGUGGUCAGGUAGAGAAUACCAAGGCGCUUGAGAGAACUCGGGUGAAGGAACUAGGCAAAAUGGUGCCGUAACUUCGGGAGAAGGCACGCUGACACGUAGGUGAAGUGAUUUACUCAUGGAGCUGAAGUCAGUCGAAGAUACCAGCUGGCUGCAACUGUUUAUUAAAAACACAGCACUGUGCAAACACGAAAGUGGACGUAUACGGUGUGACGCCUGCCCGGUGCCGGAA